CAGAUAAGAGCCGCCCGGACUAGCCAAGGAGACUGCCUGUGAGACCACGGGAAGAGAGCAAAGCAUCAUCAUGCACAAGGCUAGCUAAGCUCGAGCUCACUCCAAGAGGCCACACAGGCAAGUCAUCCUUGGCUAUCUGGACAGGCUCCUAUCG
rfam:Setaria italica strain Yugu1 chromosome II, whole genome shotgun sequence.